rnacentral:rRNA from 1 species
UAGGGAAUCUUCCACAAUGGGCGAAAGCCUGAUGGAGCAACGCCGCGUGGGUGAAGAAGGUCUUCGGAUCGUAAAACCCUGUUGUUAGAGAAGAAAGUGCGUGAGAGUAACUGUUCACGUUUCGACGGUAUCUAACCAGAAAGCCACGGCUAACUACGUGCCAGCAGCCGCGGUAAUACGUAGGUGGCAAGCGUUAUCCGGAUUUAUUGGGCGUAAAGGGAACGCAGGCGGUCUUUUAAGUCUGAUGUGAAAGCCUUCGGCUUAACCGGAGUAGUGCAUUGGAAACUGGGAGACUUGAGUGCAGAAGAGGAGAGUGGAACUCCAUGUGUAGCGGUGAAAUGCGUAGAUAUAUGGAAGAACACCAGUGGCGAAAGCGGCUCUCUGGUCUGUAACUGACGCUGGGGUUCGAAAGCGUGGGUAGCAAACAGG